rnacentral:rRNA from 1 species
UACAGAGGUCUCAAGCGUUGUUCGGAUUCAUUGGGCGUAAAGGGUGUGUAGGUGGCGCGCUAAGUCGGGUGUGAAAUUUCGGAGCUUAACUCCGAAACUGCAUUCGAUACUGCCGUGCUUGAGGACUGGAGAGGAGACUGGAAUUUACGGUGUAGCGGUGAAAUGCGUAGAUAUCGUAAGGAAGACCAGUGGCGAAGGCGGGUCUCUAGACAGUUCCUGACGCUGAGGCACGAAGGCCCAGGGGGAGCAAAACGGG